rnacentral:rRNA from 1 species
AUUGAACGCUGGCGGCAUGCCUUACACAUGCAAGUCGAACGGUAACAGGUCUUCGGAUGCUGACGAGUGGCGAACGGGUGAGUAAUACAUCGGAACGUGCCUAGUAGUGGGGGAUAACUACUCGAAAGAGUGGCUAAUACCGCAUGAGAUCUACGGAUGAAAGCAGGGGAUCGCAAGACCUUGUGCUACUAGAGCGGCCGAUGGCAGAUUAGGUAGUUGGUGGGAUAAAAGCUUACCAAGCCGACCAGCUGUAGCUGGUCUGAGAGGACGAUCAGCGACUCUGGGACUGAGACACGGGCCAGACUCCUACGGGAGGCAGCAGUGGGGAAUUUUGGACAAUGGGCGCAAGCUGGGUCCAGCAAUGCCGCGUGCAGGAUGAAGGCCUUCGGGUUGUAAACUGCUUUUGUACGGAACGAAAAGCCCUGGGUUAAUACCCUGGGGUCAUGACGGUACCGUAAGAAUAAGCACCGGCUAACUACGUGCCAGCAGCCGCCGUAAAAC